rnacentral:rRNA from 1 species
AAUAGAUACCCCGGUAGUCCACGCCGUAAACGUUGGAUACUAGGUGUGGCGGUCUUACCAACGACUGCCGUGCCGAAGCUAACGCAUUAAGUAUCCCGCCUGGGGAGUACGGCCGCAAGGCUAAAACUCAAAGGAAUUGACGGGUCCCCGCACAAGCGGCGGAGCAUGCGGCUUAAUUCGAUGCAAUCCGAAGAACCUUACCUGGGUUUGACAUCACGGGAAAAGCUGUAGAAAUACAGUGUCCGUAAGGGCCCGUGACAGGUGGUGCAUGGCUGUCGUCAGCUCGUGUCGUGAGAUGUUGGGUUAAGUCCCGCAACGAGCGCAACCCUUGUCCUAUGUUGCCAGCGGUUCGGCCGGGGGUACUCAUAGGAGACUGCCGGGGAUAACUCGGAGGAAGGUGAGGACGACGUCAAGUCAUCAUGCCCCUUAUAUCCAGGGCUGCACGCAUGCUACAAUGGCCGGUACAACGGGCAGCGACCCCGCGAGGGUGAGCGAAUCCUAAAAACGCCGGUCCGUAGUUCGGAUUGAAGUCUGCAACUCGACUUC